CCUGCUGCUGCUCGGAUUUCCUUCUGGGACCUCGUGUCAGUCUUCUGAGGGUGGCGGCCGCGCCUGGGCUGUUGCGCGGGAGGCUGUCAUUUCCCAGGAUUCCUCAGCCAUGCUCCGGUGAUACCUGUUUGAAAUCGGACUUCAGGCAAGCUGGUUCCUUCUCGUGUGGCUAAGACGAUGCAGCCAGCUCACCCUGUUUAUGGAACGGUCCCACUCCCAGCGUGGAGCCCAUGGUGGGGC